rnacentral:rRNA from 1 species
GACGAACGCUGGCGGCGUGCCUAAUACAUGCAAGUAGAACGCUGAAGAGAGGAGCUUGCUCUUCUUGGAUGAGUUGCGAACGGGUGAGUAACGCGUAGGUAACCUGCCUUGUAGCGGGGGAUAACUAUUGGAAACGAUAGCUAAUACCGCAUAACAAUGGAUGACCCAUGUCAUUUAUUUGAAAGGGGCAAAUGCUCCACUACAAGAUGGACCUGCGUUGUAUUAGCUAGUAGGUGAGGUAACGGCUCACCUAGGCGACGAUACAUAGCCGACCUGGGAGGGUGGUCGGCCACACUGGGACUGGGACACGGCCCAGACUCCUACGGGAGGCAGCAGUAGGGAAUCUUCGGCAAUGGGGGCAACCCUGACCGAGCAACGCCGCGUGAGUGAAGAAGGGUUUCGGAUCGUAAAGCUCUGUUGUAAGUCAAGAACGAGUGUGAGAGUGGAAAGUUCACACUGUGACGGUAGCUUACCAGAAAGGGACGGCUAACUACGUG